rnacentral:rRNA from 1 species
GAUGAACGCUGGCGGCGUGCCUAAUACAUGCAAGUCGAGCGAACAGACGAGGAGCUUGCUCCUCUGACGUUAGCGGCGGACGGGUGAGUAACACGUGGAUAACCUACCUAUAAGACUGGGAUAACUUCGGGAAACCGGAGCUAAUACCGGAUAAUAUAUUGAACCGCAUGGUUCAAUAGUGAAAGACGGUUUUGCUGUCACUUAUAGAUGGAUCCGCGCCGCAUUAGCGAGUUGGUAAGGUAACGGCUUACCAAGGCAACGAGGCGUAGCCGACCUGAGAGGGGGAUCGGCCACACUGGAACUGAGACACGGUCCAGACUCCUACGGGAGGCAGCAGUAGGGAAUCUUCCGCAAUGGGCGAAAGCCUGACGGAGCAACGCCGCGUGAGUGAUGAAGGUCUUCGGAUCGUAAAACUCUGUUAUUAGGGAAGAACAAAUGUGUAAGUAACUAUGCACGUCUUGACGGUACCUAAUCAGAAAGCCACGGCUAACUACGUG